rnacentral:rRNA from 1 species
CAAGUCGAACGGGAAUCUUCGGAUUCUAGUGGCGGACGGGUGAGUAACGCGUAAGAAUCUAACUUCAGGACGGGGACAACAGUUGGAAACGACUGCUAAUACCCGAUGUGCCGAAAGGUGAAACCUAAUUGGCCUGAAGAAGAGCUUGCGUCUGAUUAGCUAGUUGGUGGGGUAAAGGCCUACCAAGGCGACGAUCAGUAGCUGGUCUGAGAGGAUGAGCAGCCACACUGGGACUGAGACACGGCCCAGACUCCUACGGGAGGCAGCAGUGGGGAAUUUUCCGCAAUGGGCGAAAGCCUGACGGAGCAACGCCGCGUGAGGGAGGAAGGUCUUUGGAUUGUAAACCUCUUUUCUCAAGGAAGAAGUUCUGACGGUACUUGAGGAAUCAGCCUCGGCUAACUCCGUGCCAGCAGCCGCGGUAAUACGGGGGAGGCAAGCGUUAUCCGGAAUUAUUGGGCGUAAAGCGUCCGCAGGUGGUCAGCCAAGUCUGCCGUCAAAUCAGGUUGCUUAACGACCUAAAGGCGGUGGAAACUGGCAGACUAGAGAGCAGUAGGGGUAGCAGGAAUUCCCAGUGUAGCGGUGAAAUGCGUAGAGAUUGGGAAGAACAUCGGUGGCGAAAGCGUGCUACUGGGCUGUAUCUGACACUCAGGGACGAAAGCUAGGGGAGCGAAAGGGAUUAGAUACCCCUGUAGUCCUAGCCGUAAACGAUGGAUACUAGGCGUGGCUUGUAUCGACCCGAGCCGGCCGAAGCUAACGCGUUAAGUAUCCCGCCUGGGGAGUACGCACGCAAGUGUGAAACUCAAAGGAAUUGACGG